AUUGAACGCUGGCGGCAUGCCUAACACAUGCAAGUCGAGCGAGCGGCGGACGGGUGAGUAAUGUAUGGGGAUCUGCCCGAUAGAGGGGGAUAACUACUGGAACCGGUGGCUAAUACCGCAUACUAUCGGAUGAACCCCUGGGGGAUUCGCGAGUAGGUGGGGUAAAGGCUCACCGAGGCGACGAUCCCUAGCUGGUCGGAGAGGAUGAUCAGCCACACUGGGACUGAGACACGGCCCAGACUCCUACGGGAGGCAGCAGUGGGGAAUAUUGCGCAAUGGGCGCAAGCCUGAUGCAGCCACGCCGCGUGUAUGAAGAAGGCCUUCGGAUCGUAAAGCACUUUCAGCGGGGAGACGGUACCCGCAGAAGAAGCACCGGCUAACUCCGUGCCAGCAGCCGCGGUAAUUC
rnacentral:rRNA from 1 species